UUAGACUUGAAGGCCUAGUGAAGAAAUAUAAGUUAUUUGGUUAGAUAGAGUCAAGUUGCUCUUAUUUAGGGCUUAAGUUAAUAAGGGGUGAAAUUUGUAUAUUAAUAAGGUCAUUAAGCAUUAAAAGAGAUGAACUAAGGUCGAGGCCAGAAAGUUUUAGGUAUGAACCAGGAUUAGAUACCCUGUUACACUAAAAAAUAAUAAUAAUGCAUAACUGGAGUAUUUAUAACUAAUUUGUUUGAAAUUCAAAGAACCUGGCGGUACUUUAGUCUAGUUAGAGGAACCUGUUAUAUAAACGAUAAACCACGUAGAAUCUUUCUUGUUCUUGUACAGCCAGUAUACCUUCAUUGUUAGAUAAUUUAUAUAAGAAUUAUUGAAAUUGAGAAAAUCAAGUAUAUUAGAUCAAGGUGCUGCUAAUGAAUAAGUAUAAAUGGGUUACAAUAUUUUAAAAGAGGCUGAUUAUACUGAGAACUCAGUAUAUGAGGAUGGAUUUAAUUGUAAGUUUAAAUUUAGCAAGGUAAAGUGAUAAUAGCUCUAAAGUGUGUACAUAUUGCCCGUCGCUUUCAUUAAAUCAGAUGAGAUAAGUCGUA
rnacentral:rRNA from 1 species